GCAGGAGAGAGUUUUAGGUCUUUUGGAAUGGGGACAGCAUAUAUGUAAGAUGUAGCUGCUAGAGUUUCCCGGUAUCAUGGCGGAUGUGUAAGGAUUCGCCACCAGAGGAAUCAGAUUUUAAUAAGGCUUACAAGAUUAGGUUUUAGUUGUUGUGCCCAGAGAUUGAGUUACCAUUGUUUCUGAACUAAGUUUGUGUUGGCUUUCCCUUCACACAGUGGGGGCGGCUCAUCUGGGUUCAAGAGAGAAAGGUAUCCUGUAAAGCAUGGGUGUGCUAAAUGUGCAACACAAAGGUUGUGGGGGAUUUGAAGCACAGGUGGGCUUGGGUUCAGACUACAAACUGCUUCUGUGUGACUAAGAGAAGAAGAAUCAGAGUAAAGAGAAACAUACUCUCUUAAUCUCCGAAGAUUAACGGCAGGAGGAGCUCUAGAAUUUCACAAAGGUGCUGUCAGGACACAUGAAAAUCUAGAGAAAAAGACCAGCUUGAAGAGACCAAAAAGAAGAAAGCCUGCCAAUCACAUCCUCCAGAGAUUCUGAGACACACACACCCCUGGUGUAGGGGGACACCAUCUGAAAGGUGACACCCAUUCUACGGAAUAUAAGUACCAGCUAAAGAGGACACACACUUGAAGAAAAAGGAGACAAUGAGGUCUUGUGAAUGCUCUAAUUUUUCAAAGCUUACUUUUAAUGAUGGUUCUUAAACGCUUUAACCUCCCUUCUAGUCCACCACCCACCAAAGGUAGUGAAAAGAAAGGUGAUUAGGAUACAGGCGA
ensembl:processed_transcript Platr14 pluripotency associated transcript 14